GGUUCCAUUUAUUACAUGGACAAAGUAUAGGGUGGAGAGGAUAAGAAAUUGAAAUUGUUAGUGGAAACCCUAUCAAGGUCCAACACCCUUGGACUAUAUAGAGAUUAUUGAUAGACUUUGUUCUGAGAUAGAGAUUUCUGAUUAAGCAGUUGGUCCACCAGAUAUUACACCAGCAGAUCUGUGAUGGAUCUUGGUCUGUGAUACAGGCCACUAACUUUGUAUCAAGUUCCUUGAUAAACAUUAGCUUACGAUAGAGCAAAUACUGCAUGAAAUACUCUGUCAUAUGGUCCAUGGUAGACCUUCAUCCAUAUACCCACUUAGGGUCCAUGUAGGAUUCAAUGAUGCAGCGUGUGUGUGUUUGUAUCACUUAUCAAAUAUUCCAUAUACCCACUUAGGGUCCAUGUAGGAGUCAAUGAUGCAGCUUGUGUGUGUCUGCAUCACUUCUCUAUCAAAUACUCAUGAGUCUUGGAUGGAGACUGAUGGCAAAACUUAGUCCAUAAUGAAGGCUGUACACCAUCAGUUUGUUACAAAGCUUUUGUUCCCUUGCUAAUUUCUUUGCCUUUUAAACAGUCACUCCCGGCAUGGAAAGCGAUGGAAGCCUUACCCUGAGUGAAGGAGGGCUAUCCAGGAAAGAUUUCGUCACAGGCAGAACCACUUCUGAUCCAUUAAGUAUUAGCUCCACACAACAUCAAUUGGUGCCAACUUCAGAUCCUCUGGGGAAAUCAACAGGGAAUGGUAGGUGAAAACCUAAAUCCUCUGGUCUCCAUUUUAGAGAGAAAGCCAUCUAAAGUUUCCUCCUGAUUUUCUUAGGAACCUCCCAUCUUAUUUGGAACUGUGGUGUAUAAUUUGGCUUCUAAACCCUUGCUUGUUUUCUCUCUCAUGGAAGGAUGAGAAAGCAUGAAAUCGUUUUCCUCAUCCCAUGAGAAGGUGAGGUAUUUUACAGUGCUCUAAACGAGACAAGGGAAUAAUUUAUUUAUUAUUUAUUUAUUAGAUUUCUGUCCCGCCCAUCUAGACCAAAGGUCUAAUCUGGACGGCUUACAAAUUUAAAAACAAUAAAACCAAUAAGCAUAUAUUCUAAAUCUAAGAU
rnacentral:lncRNA from 1 species